UGGCUGAGUGGUUAAGCAUCCGGCUUCAGCUCAGGUCAUGAUCUCGUGGCUAAAAAAGGAAGGAGAGAUUACCAGGACCCAGCAUGAAUUUCUUAAGAAGAAAUCCUGUCAAAUUCUCUUAACCUAAGUGUUUGAAAAAACAAGAUUAAAAAAGCCCCCCUGCUUCCAAAUUUUCUUUUAUUUUGGAUGGAGCCAAGCAGAUUAGAGCAAUGCUACUGACACGGUAUCUGUGGAUUUUUAGCAAGCGGCUGUCCAAGUCAUAAGAUGUCCUUAGAGACUGUUUGGAUACAGGCACUCUGCGAAGGAUGAGAGAUGCAAUUGUAAACAUGACCCCAUGCGUGUCUGCAAAGAAUUUACAGGCUCCUGGGACUGCCACGCAGGUCUACUGUGAAGCUGAAAUGAAACUCAGAUGUGACCAAGGCUCUGGCCAGGGACAACUCUUGCUAAGCUGGAGCUAGAACUCACACCUGCUGCAGAGAGUAAAAUGAGGCCCUGCUCUUCUCAGACCUCACCCCGGGUAGAGUAGAAGGUAGGUACUGCACCUUCCCAAGGCGUGCCCAGUGCUAGGCCAGGCCUGGCCUGGCUCUCCCCUCUCUACUGCCCCCUGCCCAAUGAACCUCUGAGCCUGGCAUCCGGGCUGAAGUUUUAUUCUUUUCCCAGUUCCCUUAAGUGACAUAAACACUGACUUAGGAACUAGAAGCAAAAUUUUUGGAAGAGCUAAAAACUGAAAGUAAACAGCUUCCUGAUUUUGGCUGGCUAGGUGGGCUUGCCAGUGGAUUGCUGCCUCAGAGACAAGUGAGGGCCCAGUACAGCUGCCUGCUUUGCUCAACUUUCACCCCCUUGGCUGGCUGCCUUCCCUUGGAGUGGCUCCCAGAGCCUUCUCUGAAGGCUAGGACUAGCGUUUCCUUGGGCUAAAAGAGAGUAGCAGAUUCAGCAGCCGCAGCAAGGAGAAGGGGGAAAGUGGGGACAAGACAGAGGCCAGGGGCCUAUCCCUUACAGGUAAAUCCUAAAUUCGAUCACCCAGCCUAACUUCAGUGUGGCUCCACGCUCUGCACUCCAUUCCUCACAGCCCCCUGGUCCCUCCCUGUUCUUCCUCUGAGAAGGCUUCCCUGACAACAGGCCCAUUCCACAGGGACUAGAGCCACUCUCUCACCCUGGACCUCAGGGCAUGAGGACUAAGCCAGAGACUUACGAGGCUCAGGAUCUAUCACCCUCAGGUGGGAGUGGUGUGUCAUCUUGGGCCCCUACCCCCCUGCAGAACGAAGAGGCCUGACUAAAUCAAGACUUCUCAACCCUCUGAACCCACACCCUGCCAGUAAGAGGACUCAAAAGUUCAGACUCCUGAGAGGGAAGGGUUAAUGUGACACUCCUGGAAGAGGUCCUGGCACUUCCCAGACUCUGGCUUCAGAGUAGCUCAGGCAACUUGAGCCCAGCAUCAGCCCGGGAAUCCUGAGGGCCCUUUCCCUCGCAGUGCCUGCCAAGCUGCAUUCUGGGCCAGGGUGGACACUAGCCAGUUCUGGCUGUUUCCCCUGACUUCUGUACACCAUUGGCUAGGGAGCUCAUCUCCUCCCGAAAGCUCUGUGUGGUCUUUAUCAGAAACCCUUGGACCUUUAGGACUCUUAUUGGUACUCUGCAGAGGACCAGGGACUCAGUGGCUCAAAGAAAUGAGGUAACACUUCAGGGCCUCCUGCUGUAAGAGGGACAUCUCAGCCAUCAGGCCCAGGCAACAGGCUGAGGCGAGAGGACACUGGGCUCAGGAGGUUGCCUUGGGCCCCUGAUCUGAUGAUUCUGUAGAGGCUGAGUUUCUCUACAAGGACUGCACAUGUCCUAGAUGCCUCUGGGGUUGAGAAAGGGAAACCAACAGGUAAACAAAUUCCUUGUGCUUCUGUGAGAAAAGCAGCAGACUUAAAGCCUUAAGAUUCAUAGACCAGCGGGCCAGAGACUUACGGGGCUAGGGAUCUAUCCCCUCAGGUGGGAGCGGUGUGUCAUCUUGGGCCUCUAACUCAGGGUCUGAAUCGAGGACACAGUCAACUACUACAGCCUGCAAACUGUUCUCCAUAGUUCAGGGGUGCUCUGUGGGGCCUAACUUCCCAGCUCCCAGUUCUUGGUGCUAAGCUUUUGAUCAUGCCCUCAUCUCUUAGUAUUUCACCCUACCAGUUCCCCCCAAAGUGGAACAACAUAACAGGGAAGACAUUUCAAUAAUAAUGAUGACAAAAAUAACAAUAACACUCAUACAGUUCUCUCUUACGUGCCACAAAGAACUGUACUUUACGUAUCUUACUCAGUCCUAAACAAAGCAAACCCUAGGUGUAAAGUCUCUUAUGCCCAUUUAAAAAAAAGUGUACUUAUUUGAGAGAGAGAGA